GCCCGGUUAGCUCAAUCGGUAGAGCGUGAGACUCUUAAUCUCAAGGUUGCGGGGUAAGUGUUAAACACAUAAAUAUGUAACUUAUCCCAUAUGAAUAUGCAAUUAACCCUAAAAUCGAAUAGUUCGACCCCCGCAUCGGGCU